rnacentral:rRNA from 1 species
UACGAAGGGGGCUAGCGUUGUUCGGAAUUACUGGGCGUAAAGGGCGCGUAGGCGGUACUUCAAGUCAGGCGUGAAAGCCCCGGGCUCAACCUGGGAACCGCGCUUGAGACUGGAGAACUAGAGUUCGGGAGAGGAUGGUGGAAUUCCCAGUGUAGAGGUGAAAUUCGUAGAUAUUGGGAAGAACACCGAUGGCGAAGGCAGCCAUCUGGACCGACACUGACGCUGAGGCGCGAAAGCGUGGGGAGCAAACAGGAUUGAGAU